rnacentral:lncRNA from 1 species
AACAGACUUGUUGGAUGAUGAUGGAGUUGUCUUUGUUGCAACAAUAUGGUCUAAAAUAAAAGUCGGUGUUUUGUCUGUUGGCAUAUUUCUUCUUGAAUCAGUCGAUGAUGUUUCCUCACGAGCUUGCAUCUCGAUAGUUUUAGCAUCAAAACAGAUAUCCUCCUCCUCUUCGUAGGUUAUGAUACUGAUGCAUCAGUACUCAG